AGAAUCAACGCUGGCGGCGUGCCUAACACAUGCAAGUCGAACGAGAAGGUGGAGCAAUCCAUGAGUAAAGUGGCGACCGGGUGAGUAACACGUGACUACCUACCCUUGAGUGGGGGAUAACCUCGGGAAACCGAGGCUAAUACCGCAUAAUAUCGAAAGAUCAAAGGAGUAAUCCGCUUUUGGAGGGGUCGCGGCUGAUUAGCUAGUUGGUAGGGUAAUGGCCUACCAAGGCGAAGAUCGGUA
rnacentral:rRNA from 1 species